rnacentral:rRNA from 1 species
GUCUACAGCCAUACCAUCCUGAACACACCGUAUCUUGUCUGAUCUCAUGAAGCUAAGCAGGGUCGGGUCUGGUUAGUACUUGGAUGGGAGACGGCCUAGAAAUACUGGGUACUGUAGGCU